rnacentral:lncRNA from 1 species
UAUUAAAAAUUUUAGCUGUUAAAAAAUAUCAAAUUUCUUUAAUACGCUGCGAAGUAUAAAAGAAUCGGACAAUUUGUUUGGAAGAUAUCAAAGUUUGAAAAUUUACAAAAAAGUGUUUGUUCCAACAACUAAUAGAUUUUUUAGCUUUAAGAGCUCACAUGCGUAAAAACUUUUUUUCUUGAACUCGAAAAGCUAAAAAAAUCGUAGUAAGCAGAUUUUCAAAGGCUAUAAAUUUAAAAUUAUCAGGACCAUCCAGCUAGAAUGCUCUGCAAGGUCUUAGUAAUGGUUUGCAAAGUCCAGCGUUGUUUUCUAUUUACAUCGAUUUUUUUAUUUAGAUCGCGAGCACGAUUGCAACGCUGUACAAUUUCUCAUAAAAUUCUUUAAUUUGCUAAAUAUACUCGAUUACAAAAUUUGAAAAGUUUCAUUAUUAAGUUUUCACCAUCAUAUUGGAAUAAAUUUCCAACAGAUAAAUAAUUGUUUGUAAUUUUGCACGCUACUUCUAGCUCACACUUGUAACAAUACCACUAUAAUAGGCAAUAAUUAUCGUAAUUAAUUAUAAUUAUUAUGAAUAAAGAUCACUUUGAGAUAUAAAAUAAAACAUAUCAUGCGAUUAGUUGGUAGUAAGGGUGACACUAAAGCAACCACACCAAGCAGAUAAAUUAUUAACAAAAAAUAUGAGAAAUUAUUCAGAAAAUUCAAAGUUUUACGUAUACUUGAUGUUUGUUGAAUAUAUUACUUCAAAACUGAUUGGGUUAUCACCAUGGAUGAUGGACACUACAAAGAUAUUCCGCAAAAAUCGAGGAGUUAACAGACUUUUGAAAUGUUAAUACAAAUUAUCAGUCAUCGGUUCAUGUUAUAACAUUCUUCUAAUCAUAUCUUAUAUUCUAUUUUAUAUUUUUUUUGUUUAUAAUAACUUGAAAGGAGCGAAUCAAAUUAUUGUAUCAAUGAAGCUUGCAUUUUUUUCGAUAAUCUGUAUGAGUGUAAUACUGCUCAUUUACAUCAUUCGUCAAAAGUCUCUAGUAAUUGUCAAAAAUCGAUUCAAUGAUGUCGACAAGUGGCUUAAUAGCUGCGAAGAUUAUCAACUGGACCACGAUAAUACUAAUUACUGGAUAUUUUUUACAAAUAUGAUGUUGAUAUACUGUUGGAGUAUAAUUAGGAUAGUAUUUACAGUUUCAUGGGCGAUAAAUAUCGCUCUGAUUUUAACGACGGCUUUUGGAUUUAUUCUGAUAGUUCAAUAUACAAUGAUAAUCACCAUGAUUAACAAACGGCUUAGAAGCAUUAAUGCAACGCUUCUGAAAUUGGGAAGUACUUGGCAUAAAGCAAUUUUGAAUGAUUUUUGCACCAUUACGGACGCAUACGUUGAACUAUGUGAUAUGUGCGAUAAAAUUGCGGAUUUUUAUGGAAUUCCUACGCUUAUUGUUAUUUUUAUCAGAUAAUUUUAUUAUUUAUCAGAUAAUUUUGAUAUUUCUUCACAAAACUGAGAUAUCAAGUUCAGCGUAUCUAGCUGGAAUAUUUAUUAUACAAAGUUGUUUUUCAUUUAUAACACUGACUACUAGUGUGACGCAAGUACUGAGACAUGUAUACAUCGUUUAUUAACUAAUAAGUGAUUUAUAAUUUCUGACAUUAGAUGCUCGAAUUUAUACUUUAAAUAUUUUCAGAACGCAGAAACCGCUAAAAUCAUCGAUGAGCUUUUGGAUCGAUUCGCAGUUAAUCGAGAAAUAACAAAUAAAUUAUACAACUUUUCAAAUGAUCUCUGGCAUAUGAAGUUUGAGUUCACCCUUUGUGACAUUAUACCUUUAGAUCAUACUCUUCUUGCAGUCAUUUCUGGUACGACUGUAACAUACCUGAUUAUUGCAAUUCAAUUUCAUCUCAGCAAAAAUGAUUAACUUUUUAAAUAAUAGUUGUUUUAACGGAAUCAAUACUCUGGGGUUGUUGUUAUUGCACAAUUUCAUAGAUUAUUCCAUUUGACUUUGUUUACGAUUCGAGCGUGUCGAUUUCUAUUAUCUCUUUCAUCUCUACUAUAAUUUAUACAAUUUUAUUAUUACUAGCUUUGAUCCGUGGCUUUUCUCGCGUUGAUGUCCUUGAUGCAUACACGUCAAAUGCCGGUGAUAAUAGAAUAUUCUGAGAACUUUGUCUUUCUGAUCAAGAUCAUUAGGAUAAAACAAAAGUUUCUAAUUUUAUAGAUUAAACGUCCACUAUGCAUAGAAUGACAGUAAAUACUGUUUUUGUUUAUCGAGAUAAAAAGAAAAUCAUAUCGAUGUCACCACGAAAAAGUUGGCAUGGAACUAUAAUCGCUCAGAUUAAUGAAUAAGCGCUCUUAAUUGCUCACAAAAUGUUUGUUUCUAUUAAUAAUUAAUUUCAUUGUUUUUCUUAUCAUAGCAAAUAAUAUAAAAUG